rnacentral:rRNA from 1 species
AACUGAAGAGUUUGAUCAUGGCUCAGAUUGAACGCUGGCGGCAGGCUUAACACAUGCAAGUCGAGCGGAGAGAGGUAGCUUGCUACUGAUCUUAGCGGCGGACGGGUGAGUAAUGCUUAGGAAUCUGCCUAUUAGUGGGGGACAACAUUUCGAAAGGAAUGCUAAUACCGCAUACGUCCUACGGGAGAAAGCAGGGGAUCUUCGGACCUUGCGCUAAUAGAUGAGCCUAAGUCGGAUUAGCUAGUUGGUGGGGUAAA